CACGUAGGGGCCGAGCGUUGUCCGGAGUUGACUAGGGCGUAAAGCGCGCGCAGGCGGCGCAUCGCGCCCCGGCGUGGAAAGCCCCCGGCUCAACCGGGGAGGGUCGUCGGGGACGGGUGCGCUUGAGGACGGAAGGGGCAACUGGAAUUCUUGGUGUAGCGGUGAAAUGCGUAGAUAUCAAGAGGAACACCUGCGGCGAAGGCGGGUUGCUGGGCCGACACUGACGCUGGAUGCGCGAAAGCUAGGGGAGCGAACGGG
rnacentral:rRNA from 1 species